GGAAGAGUGGCCGAGCGGUUGAAGGCACCGGUCUUGAAAACCGGCAACGGGUAACCGUUCGUGGGUUCGAAUCCCACCUCUUCCGCCA
rnacentral:tRNA from 1 species